rnacentral:rRNA from 1 species
GACGAACGCUGGCGGCGUGCUUAAUACAUGCAAGUCGAACGGAAAGGCCCUGCUUUUGUGGGGUGCUCGAGUGGCGAACGGGUGAGUAACACGUGAGUAACCUGCCCUUGUCUUUGGGAUAACUUCAGGAAACUGGGGCUAAUACCGGAUAGGAGCUCCUGCUGCAUGGUGGGGGUUGGAAAGUUUCGGCGGUUGGGGAUGGACUCGCGGGUUAUCCGCUUGUUGGUGGGGUAGUGGCUUACCAAGGCUUUGACGGGUAGCCGGCCUGAGAGGGUGACCGGCCACAUUGGGACUGAGAUACGGCCCAGACGCCUACGGGAGGCAGAAGUGGGGAAUAUUGCACAAUGGGCGGAAGCCUGAUGCAGCAACGCCGCGUGCGGGAUGACGGCCUUCGGGUUGUAAACCGCUUUCGCCUGUGACGAAGCGUGAGUGACGGUAAUGGGUAAAGAAGCACCGGCUAACUACGUG